GACAGUGUGUCUUAGUGGUUAGAGCACCUGACUGGGACUCAGGAGACCUGGAUUCUAUUUCUGGGUCA
rnacentral:tRNA from 1 species